rnacentral:rRNA from 1 species
GCGAGUUACGAUAUGAUGCGAGGUUAAGUUGAAGAAACGGAGCCGUAGGGAAACCGAGUCUUAAUAGGGCGCAUUAGUAUCAUGUCGUAGACCCGAAACCAUGUGACCUACCCAUGAGCAGGUUGAAGGUGAGGUAAAACUCACUGGAGGACCGAACCAGGGCACGUUGAAAAGUGCUUGGAUGACUUGUGGGUAGCGGAGAAAUUCCAAACGAACUUGGAGAUAGCUGGUUCUCUCCGAAAUAGCUUUAGGGCUAGCGUCGAUGUUAAGUCUCUUGGAGGUAGAGCACUGUUUGGGUGAGGGGUCCAUCCCGGAUUACCAAUCUCAGAUAAACUCCGAAUGCCAAUGAGAUAUAAUCGGCAGUCAGACUGCGAGUGCUAAGAUCCGUAGUCGAAAGGGAAACAGCCCAGACCACCAGCUAAGGUCCCAAAAUAUAUGUUAAGUGGAAAAGGAUGUGGGGUUGCACAGACAACUAGGAUGUUAGCUUAGAAGCAGCUAUUCAUUCAAAGAGUGCGUAAUAGCUCACUAGUCGAGUGACCCUGCGCCGAAAAUGUACCGGGGCUAAAACAUAUUACCGAAGCUGUGGAUACCUUUAUAGGUAUGGUAGGAGAGCGUUCUAUGUGCGAAGAAGGUGUACCGUGAGGAGUGCUGGAGCGCAUAGAAGUGAGAAUGCCGGUAUGAGUAGCGAAAGACAGGUGAGAAUCCUGUCCACCGUAAGACUAAGGUUUCCAGGGGAAGGCUCGUCCGCCCUGGGUUAGUCGGGACCUAAGGAGAGACCGAAAGGUGUAUCCGAUGGACAACAGGUUGAUAUUCCUGUACUAGAGUAUAUAGUGAUGGAGGGACGCAGUAGGCUAACUAAACCAGACGAUUGGAAGUGUCUGGCCAAGCAGUGAGGUGUGAUAUGAGUCAAAUGCUUAUAUCUCUAACAUUGAGCUGUGAUGGGGAGCGAAGUUUAGUAGCGAAGUUAGUGAUGUCACACUGCCGAGAAAAGCUUCUAGCGUUAAUUAUACUCUACCCGUACCGCAAACCGACACAGGUAGUCGAGGCGAGUAGCCUCAGGUGAGCGAGAGAACUCUCGUUAAGGAACUCGGCAAAAUGGCCCCGUAACUUCGGGAGAAGGGGCGCUGACUGAUGGUCAGCCGCAGUGAAUAGGCCCAAGCAACUGUUUAUCAAAAACACAGCUCUCUGCUAAAUCGUAAGAUGAUGUAUAGGGGGUGACGCCUGCCCGGUGCUGGAAGGUUAAGAGGAGUGCUUAGCGUAAGCGAAGGUAUGAAUUGAAGCCCCAGUAAACGGCGGCCGUAACUAUAACGGUCCUAAGGUAGCGAAAUUCCUUGUCGGGUAAGUUCCGACCCGCACGAAAGGCGUAAUGAUUUGGGCACUGUCUCAACGAGAGACUCGGUGAAAUUUUAGUACCUGUGAAGAUGCAGGUUACCCGCGACAGGACGGAAAGACCCCAUGGAGCUUUACUGCAGUUUGAUAUUGAGUAUCUGUACCACAUGUACAGGAUAGGUAGGAGCCUAUGACCUCGGGACGCCAGUUUCGAGUGAGGCGUUGUUGGGAUACUACCCUUGUGUUAUGGCUACUCUAACCCAGAUAGGUUAUCCCUAUCGGAGACAGUGUCUGACGGGCAGUUUGACUGGGCGGUCGCCUCCUAAAAGGUAACGGAGGCGCCCAAAGGUUCCCUCAGAAUGGUUGGAAAUCAUUCGCAGAGUGUAAAGGUAUAAGGGAGCUUGACUGCGAGAGCUACAACUCGAGCAGGGACGAAAGUCGGGCUUAGUGAUCCGGUGGUUCCGUAUGGAAGGGCCAUCGCUCAACGGAUAAAAGCUACCCUGGGGAUAACAGGCUUAUCUCCCCCAAGAGUUCACAUCGACGGGGAGGUUUGGCACCUCGAUGUCGGCUCGUCGCAUCCUGGGGCUGUAGUCGGUCCCAAGGGUUGGGCUGUUCGCCCAUUAAAGCGGCACGCGAGCUGGGUUCAGAACGUCGUGAGACAGUUCGGUCCCUAUCCGUCGCGGGCGUAGGAAAUUUGAGAGGAUCUGCUCCUAGUACGAGAGGACCAGAGUGGACUUACCGCUGGUGUACCAGUUGUUCUGCCAAGAGCAUCGCUGGGUAGCUAUGUAGGGAAGGGAUAAACGCUGAAAGCAUCUAAGUGUGAAGCCCACCUCAAGAUGAGAUUUCCCAUGAUUUU